rnacentral:rRNA from 1 species
CAGCAGCCGCGGUAAUACGUAGGGUCCGAGCGUUGUCCGGAAUUAUUGGGCGUAAAGGGCUCGUAGGCGGUUUGUUGCGUCGGGAGUGAAAACCCAGGGCUUAACUUUGGGCUUGCUUUCGAUACGGGCAGACUUGAGGCAUUGAGGGGAGAACGGAAUUCCUGGUGUAGCGGUGAAAUGCGCAGAUAUCAGGAGGAACACCGGUGGCGAAGGCGGUUCUCUGGCAAUGUUCUGACGCUGAGGAGCGAAAGUGUGGGGAGCGAACAGGAUUAGAUACCCGUGUAGUCCCUGUCUCUUAUAA